rnacentral:piRNA from 1 species
AAGCUGUAGGUGGGGAGGUCUGUAU